CCUAUUCCCGAUAUAUUGUUAUUAUUUUAUCAAGUGAGAACUUCUUGCCAAUUUUAAUCAUACAAGGUACUACUAUACAAAUGCGCACAGGAUAACCAAAUAAUAUGUUUCCCUCUCAGCCUUGAACCCGUACCUUAUUACAUGAUUAAUGAAUACUUAUCCAGGGUACCAAUUUCACCGCGUGGAUGGUGGUCCAGGGCACAUAUGUCUGACAUUGUAAUAUUUAUUUUAGAAAUAUGAUAAUUUUCUAUAAUACAAUAAUAAUUAUUUUAGCACAGAGAAUUAUCUCAUUAUCGCAAGAAAUAUUUUUAACAUCAUCCAGCUGCUUGUGCUUCCCUCUCCCCAAUACUCUCGAGAAAAAAUAAAGCUGAUUUCUAGUGGUAUUUAGCAUAAUAUGAAAAUAACAUGAAGAUUGAUGACAAAAUAACGUACAAUUGUAUUAUUACGAACACAUCACACAAACAGAAUUCACGGCAGUAUAAAAACAUUUUUAGAUUUUUCUCUCAUAUAUUUAUCACCUCUACAUUCUCAUAUACUAAAUGUUUCCAAUUUAUUUCUAUUGAAAAAACACGAAGUGUCUCAUUUAAAUCAAACUCAUUGAUAUCAGGAUUAUUUAUUACUUUGUGCAUCAAUUACCAUCGUUGUUCACUACUCAAUCUGGCAGAGUGAAACAUCGUGCCCGAUGAAAAUAAUAUCGUAUAAUCGAUAAUCGAAUUUACAAACAAAAUCUGUUGCGCGAGCGCACGGACGCGCCGAAUACAGUUAACCCAUCAAUGGUGUUUUGACAAUAUGCAAGAAUCGUCAGGGCAAACCUCACAGCAUGGUACCACCCACCACCAGGUGAUGCACCAUCUUGGUACACGUGAGCACAUUGUAGAGAGAUGCCUACUGACAUCGAGAGGCUGUGCUGUCAGCAAAUACCAAAGAACGGCUUUUCAUUAUUGCCACUCAAACAGCUCACAGACACAAAUAAGGAUGUACUUACUAAGAAAUGGGAGGAAGAAAUAAAGUCGUUUCCUUUUCUUCGUGCCAUUUCCAAUGGUGAUGCCUUGGAGAUGACAGACGGCUCAAGAGUUACAGUCAGAGGGGCUAUUCAUAUGGAAAAUCAGACUUGAAGUUCCUCAAACAGUAUGUCUAAAAAGAAUACAAUAAAAAGAUACAGAACCUUGUUCACUCAAACAAAAUCUGUGUUUCCAGUAACCUGAGUAACCCUACUUUUACACACUGACCCUAGUACUUUUUAUACAACUCCAGAUUGGUUUAAGCACAAUGUUGCAGAGACAAUAAUUCUUUUUUAAUGUUUACUGUUAUGUUUUUUGACAAUGAACAUAAACCAAAUAACAGCUUGUAAUUUAUUUUGGCUGCAUAAACUUUUUAAUUAUCCUAACAUCAUAUUUUAACACAUCUGAAAUCCAUAACUGCAAAAUAACAUCAACUCUCUGACAUUGAUUAACUUCAUUGGUCUAAAUAAACAUUUUUCUUGUUUAUAAUUGAUGGAUAUUGAUAGUAUACAUUAAUUGUUUUAGUGAUGAUUGUAUUUCAGGUCUCUGAUGUCUUCAAAUCAAAAACCUCUUCGCACAGAGUAGUAAGACUUGAUCAAGGGGGCGAUGUUGCCAUUAAGCUAUGGGGAUCGAAGUCAUUCCUUUACCCUGCAGUUCGGUCAAGCAUUGAGGCCACAUGCUUACAGGUGACCUCUUACAAGAAAAAGAAUGAGUUUCAUUCUACGCCAAGCACAACAAUCAAAAAUGAGGAUGAAAUAACCCGGAGACUCCACAUCGUUCAAGAAUUUUUCAUUUAUACAUGUACAACCUAAACAACGACAGGAGUACUGAUUAAAAGACAAUAACUAAGCUCCAUGCAAAUACAUAAUUAUACACAUAAUAUUCACUAUGUGUCUACAACAGUUUGCAUUUACGUGUAUUCCAGGCACACAGUUAUGCACGCUAUUUUUUAACGUAAUACUAUACUGCUGUAAGCCUAAUAUUUUGUUAGUUUUAAUGUAAUACAAAUUAUCCAUAUUCAAAAAUUCUCAAGUUGACCAAUAGAAAAAACGAAAAGCUCCCGUAUCAAGAAAACAAGAUCGGAUAUAAUCGGACAUAGGAGGUAAACAUCUGACAAGUAAAAGGACUCGAGACCAUAAAAUGGUGAAAAUGGCAGGUGGGCGGCUGCCAAAAGGGUAUCCUCAUUGUACAGAUAACUCCUCCUACAGUUUUCAAGAUAGGAAGAUGUUCUUUUGCAGAUCAAUUGCACAUAUAUCAGAGGUGUGCAUAUUGCUUUGAUUUUGAUUUCUGAUAAUUAA